rnacentral:lncRNA from 1 species
GGGAGCCCAGGAAGGCUGGCAAUACUUUCAGGAAGUAAUUUUAAAGGUGCAGGAGCUGACCAUCCCCAGGUCAUGGAAGAUGAGCUGAUGGGCAAGGAGGCUGGACUGGCUGAACAGAGACCUUCCACUGGAACUCAAGAGCAAAAUGAAAGAUUAUGGUCUGUGGAAGAGUGGGCAAGCUACUUAUGAUGAUUACAGAGAGAAUCCCUCGAGGAGCGCUGACGGUGCCUCUGACACCCGACGCCAUUUUCCCUGAAGCGACUGUGCCGCCACCGGACCCCGCCUGGAUGCAGCCCACCAUCCGCGGACCGAUGCCGGUACCACCCCAAGCCCUCCCUGUCCCCACUGCCACCUACCUGGCGCCUCAGGCCUCUGUCUGGCCUGGGGUACCAGGUGUCUGGGGACAGGCAGCGCAGCUCCCCCCUGGGGGGCUGCCCCCAACUGGGGCUCAACUGCCACCUGGGGGCCUGCCCCCAACUCUGGGGCUGCACUUACCGCUGCUGCAGCUGCUACCUGGGGGGCUGCACCCAGCUAGGGCUC